UUGGUGUGAUGAUAAUGUACAAGGUUUCGCAUCCUGGGCUGAUGUCUUGUGAUGCCAUUUCCUCUUGGCUGUCUGACCAA